GCUUUGGCACGGCUACGGCCUGCCAAGCCGACCUCAAAACGUGGUCAGCCCGGUUAUCCUGCUUCGGCAAACAACCUGCUGGGUCUGGCAGAACGUGGAGUAGCCCUAGGGCGGAACACGGAGCCAGC
ncrna:unclassified sequences RT-10 RNA